UACGGGGGGGGCAAGCGUUGUUCGGAAUUACUGGGCGUAAAGGGCUCGUAGGCGGCCAACUAAGUCGGACGUGAAAUCCCCAGGCUCAACCUGGGAACUGCGUCUGAUACUGGAUGGCUUGAAUCCGGGAGAGGGAUGCAGAAUUCCAGGUGUAGCGGUGAAAUGCGUAGAUAUCGUAAGGAAGACCAGUGGCGAAGGCGGGUCUCUGGACAGUUCCUGACGCUGAGGCACGAAGGCCAGGGGAGCAAACGGG
rnacentral:rRNA from 1 species